ensembl:lncRNA
CUUUGGGAGUGCUAAUUGUGGGUUUUAAUUGUAUCUGCUUUUUGUGCCUCCUGAGCACCUUUAGCUGACAGCAUAGGUGAGUGAUACAACAAAGCCAGUUAUGAGGUAAAUGGCCAGGAGCUGAUUUCUGCCUGCCUCACUCAAGGGAAGUAUGACAUUCACCAUCCCCAUGUGAAGCCCUCUUCCGAUCUGGGUUCUGGCAAUCUAGACCCUAAUGUCACUCCACACCCCAAACAAUGGCAGUAACACUGCACCACUACUCCUUGCCGCUGAGAUCAAUUGUUAAGCAGGGUUAUUCACCUUCAGUGCAGACUCCUGACCCAGUAGAGUCCCCUACUCUCUGGCUACCUGGGGAACUGAGGGUCUGUUCCCUCAGCUCUUGGGACCCCACAUCCCUCCUCACUCAGGUGCCCACCUCUUUGCUUCCUUCCCUCCCUGCCCAUCAGAAAAUUCACACACACACAAAUAUCAUCUUUUCACCAUUUGAUGUGUAUUUUAAUGGCAGCCAUCAUUUACUAUGUUAGUGUGAGAGUCAGUCUUUUCCUGGUUGGCCAUUUCUAAGAAAGCAGACCUCUGGAGACACAAUUCUAAACUGUCUGACCUUUUCUACCCAGUUACUGGCUGCCCAGCUUGUACUUCCCUAGUUUUGAGGAAAGCGUAUAACAUCUGAUUUGGAAGGGAGAUUUCAUGAAAAAGGGAUGUGGGCUGAUGAGGGCUUUUGUGGCAGGCACGGGCAUUGUAGAGGUCUUGGGCAGCAAAGUCAAUGGAGAACGUGGGCAGCAUAGAUGGAAUCAUCAUACCUUCACACUGCCUCUGUACCUCUGUGGACAAAGGGUCUUCUUUCGUCCUUUCACCCUUGAAGCACACUGCAUUGGAAGUCUUCUUGGCUGCUGUCGCUUCCUGGUUACUUUAUGAUGAUAGCAUGAAAUGAUCUAACCCAGAAUCUCUGCCUCUAACCUCUCUAUAUAUACCUUCUCAGGACAAUGAGGAGCCACACCCUUCAAUCUGAUUGGUCAGCUAGGCACUCCCCCAGCCAAUGGUGGCUUUGGGGUCUUAGACAUUACAAAGCACCACUGUGCCCAUCAACAUGGGUUAGUGGGUGCUGAGGGAGGCCAUGAUACUACUUUCUCACCCCUGACCCCUCUGUGUGUCUGAUUCUGGGGAGUGGUGAUUCAGGGGCAUGGUGUUUCUUCUCAUGACCCUCAGACUUUCUUUCAGUGCCCUUUAUUUUAUUGACUUAUAUGUCCCCCUUCAACACUCCUGCCUCCUCCAUCCCUGUAUGAACCUCGACCAAACACUUUUGACUCCAAUCUAUUCCUCAGAGUUGUCUAGUCAUUUCAUCUUUCGACCACCCUCUUCCUAGUGGGUGUUCUUGAGGGGCUUAAGGAAUUUAAGAGCAAGCCCUUAACAUGGAAAAAGGUAAUUAAGAACAGGUUGGAUGUUUUUUCUACUCCAAUGAGCUUUAGAGACCCCAAGACUUGGUGAAUGCUCAGUCUGUUGCCCCAAGGUCUAUAUACUGUCUCCAUAAAAGUACACAUCAGAGCCAAGAAAUUCAUAAACCUCUCCUCCACUAAUAUUGUUGGGGCACUUCCACACUCAUAUUGACUAGGGAAACUCAACUUGCCCAUCACCAGAAAUACAUUCCCGGUUUAAAACACACACACACACACACACACACAAAGAAAGUUGCCCAAAGGCAAUAUUCAGAUGACCAAUGCACCACUGUUUCUUGACUGAAUCACUUCCCCAGUGGUCCCUCUUUGAGAGUUAUCAGCAGGUAGGGAUCAAUGUGGACCUGAUCAAUAACUGAGCAGAAGUUCCAGUAGGCAUCACACUCAUAGUCAGUUGCUUAUUGGCAGGGCUGAGCGAUGCACUGUCCAAUUGCUGCCAAGACCUGUUGCUUAGUAACAGGAUGUGGAGUAAUUCGGCAAAGCAAUGGCUACCUGCUAAUGGCUGUGCUCAUGCUGCUCUGUUCCAUAAGGAUACCUUGGGUCCAGUGUGCUUUAAUCUUUUUGACUGACUCCUUUCCAACCGCAGAUUUUGAUUUCACAUGCUUUUUUAACUUUUGUACAUCAUAGGUUUCAUUGUAUUCCCAGGCAUGCCAGUCAGCAGUGCUUAUCUAUAUGCCCCUCCAACAGCUGCCACGAGAUUGCAUGUGCCACAUAUAUUAUAGCUAAUAUUUCAAAGCCAACAAGAAUGUAAAUGCCAGCCCACUUUGAGAACUACUUUGACAAACCUUAACCUCACAGUGAUGCUUAUUCUAUUCACAAUGUAACAGAGCCGAGUGAGCACAGCCCUGUGCAGUUAGCCAUUGAUGUGCUUCAUUUCAACCCACCCUGUUCCUAGGCAACAGGUGUAGCUCAGCCUUGCUUGGUGCCUCAGAUGGCCCCAUUCACAAGCAGCCAACUGUCAAUGAUUGACCAUUCGUUGUCCUGCUAACCUAUUGAUCAGCACCACAGUGGGCCCUGCCCUCAGUUAUGAUCAAGAAGGGAGUAUUGGGGAAGUGAUUAAGGAAGGGUGCUGUGGUGGUCUUCAACCAGAAAAUGAGAGAAGAGGCAGAUUUAAGCAUUCUUUUGGGGGGCCUGGAGAUGACCAAGCCUUAGGUCAGUGUAUGAGCUGGAAGGGCGACAUCCUGUAGUGCUCCAGAGCCCUCACUAAGGCCCUCCAUUAGCCUUGGCCCAGGCCUUGAGGAGCGGUUAUCCUCUCCCCAUCCCUGUCUCUGCCAACUCCUAGCAAUGGCCAUUUGCCUGGGCGUUAGUCACUGAGAACUGGUCUCCUCACCUGGACAGCCUGAGGAGACAGGACCUAUUGGGUUGGGUGCCUGGGUCCAUCAAGGAUGAGAGCUGAGCAGAAUGUGCGAACCUUACCCGAAGGAGCUGCCGAAUGAGAUCUGUUUCUGCUUAUCCAGGAUGGGACAUUUCAAGGUGAAAGUUGUGCCUUGAGACUUUGCCCUCUCUUGACAGGGCAAGAAUGACAGAAAAUAACAUUCAUGUGGCAGAGACAUAUAGGGACAUUAUUACCUGACCAUGACUUAACUUAAGCACAAAGGAUGUGACACCAAGAGGUCUGUAACAACUUACCACAACUCUCUCUGACAUUUGCUUUUAAAUGUACUUAGCUAGAUAUAUUCCUAAGUAUUUUAUUCUUUCCGUUGCAAUGGUGAAUGGAAUUGUUUCCUUAAUUUCUCUUUCUGUUUUCUCAUUAUUAGUGUAUAGGAAUGCAAGGGAUUUCUGUGUGUUGAUUUUCUAUCCUGCAACUUUACUAUAGUCAUUGAUUAGUUCUAGUAAUUUUCUAGUGGAGUCUUUAGGGUUUUCUAUGUAGAGGAUCAUGUCAUCUGCAAACAGUGAGAGUUUUACUUCAUCUUUUCCAGUUUGGAUUCCUUUUAUUUCUUUUCUGCUCUGAUUGCUGUGGCCACAACUCCAAAACUAUGUUGAAUAGUAAUGGUGAAAGUGGGCACCCUUGUCUUGUUCCUGACUUUAGAGGAAAUGCUUUCAAUUUUUCACCAUUGAGGAUAAUGUUUGCUGUGGGCUUGUCAUAUAUAGCUUUUAUUAUGUUGAGGUAUGUUCCUUCUAUUCCUGCUUUCUGAGAGUUUUUAUCAUAAAUGGAUGUUGAAUUUUGUCAAGGGCUUUCUCUGCAUCUAUUGAGAUAAUCAUAUGGUUUUUAUUUUUCAAUUUGUUAAUGUGGCAUUACAUUGAUUGAUUUAUGGAUAUUGAAGAAUCCUUGCAUCCCUGGGAUAAAGCCCACCUGGUCAUGGUGUAUGAUCUUUUAAAUGUGUUGUUGGAUUCUGAUUGCUAGAAUUUUGUUAGGGAUUUUUGCAUCUAUGUUCAUCAGUGAUAUUGGCCUAUAGUUUUCUUUUUGUGGGAUCUUUGUCAGGUUUUGUAUUAGGGUGAUGGUGGCCUUGUAGAAUGAGUUUGAAGUUUACCUUCCUCUUCAAUUUUCUGGAAGAGUUUGAGCAGGAUAGGUGUUAGCUCUUCUCUAAAUUUUUGGUAGAAUUCAGCUGUAGCCGUCUGGGCC